CCUUCUCACCCACCCAGUGCCCGGUCUCAGCAGGAAGGACUGAGAUUUUGUGCAACUUCAAGAGAGACCUAGAGUCUAAACCACCAAGCUAAGACAUUCCCAGAAACUCAUACCUUGAAUCAAGGAUUUGAGUGCAAGAAUUGAUUUAUGAGGUGAUUCCAGGAAGCAUGGAACGCUGGUCAAUUCCAGAACCAAGCUGCUGCUCUAAGAGUUCGGAGGAAAGGAAGAGUGCAAUCAAAGGACCCUCCUCCCUCUCAUGGGAUCAAUAGUAAUAUGCCAAGGGCUGUAACAGAUGUUCUUCAUGUUUGGAGAAGUCAGAUGAUUCAUGCCGUCAUCACUUCCCAUCUCGGAUCUCUGGGCUCAUGGCCAUCCCAGAGCCUUUCC